rnacentral:lncRNA from 1 species
GCCCUCCAGGAGGGGUGUUGAGGGGCAUCAGGGGCGUGCUGGGUGCUCUGUGCUUUCCCGGGGGUUCUGUAACCCAAUUGCACCCACCCUCUGGGUGCCCCCAGCGCCUUUUGGGCUGUGGGAAUUUGCCCCAGGUGUUGCCCCACCAAGCAUCAAAUUGGGGACCCCAUUGGCCCCGAUGUCUGGGGGUGGCUGGACCCUGGGUGUGCCAGAGUUAGGGGGGUGUGGGAUGGCCCAGAGUCCUGGGUGUGUGGGUGCCAGAUGGGGGUGAGCAGGACCCCAAACCCCCGGGUAUGUGGUGCAGGAUAAGGAGUGGUCAGACCCCCAAAGCCCUGAGUACGUAGGUGGCCAGAUUUGGGGUCAUCAGAACACCAAACCCCUGGAACAUGGGUGUCAGAUCGGGGGUGGGCAGGAGCCAGGACCCCCAAGUAUGUGAGUUUUGGAUGAGGGUGGACAGGACCCCAAACCUCUGGGUUUGUGGGUGCCAUGUGGGAGGUCAGCAAGACCCCAGACCCCUGGGUAUGUGGGUGCCAGAUGAGGAUGAACAGGACCCCAGAUCCCUGGUUAUGUGAGUUCUGGGUAGGGGGUGGAGAGGACCCCAGACCCCUGGACAUCUGGGUGCCAAACCCCUGGGUCUGUGGGUGAUGGAUGGGGAUGAGGAGGACCCCAGACUCCUGGAUGCCAGACCCCUAGGCCUAUGGGUGCUGGAUGGGGAUGGGCAGGACCCCAAAUCCCAGGGUCUGUGGGUGCUGGAUGAGGGUGAGCAGGACCCCAAAUCCCAGAGUCUGUGGGUGCUGGAUAAGGGUGAGCAGGACCCUAAAUCCCAGAGUCUGUGGGUGCUGGAUGGGGAUGGGCAGGACCCCAAAUCCCAGAGUCUGUGGGUGCUGGAUGGGGAUGGGCAGGACCCCAAAUCCCAGAGUCUGUGGGUGCUGGAUGAGGGAUGGGCAGGACCCCAAAUCCCAGAGUCUGUGGGUGUCAAAUGGGAAGUGGGCAGGACCCCAGGGUGGGCAUCAGCCUCUCUCUCUCCCAGGGCCACGCCGUAGCCUGCGCCCCCACCGCAUCUCGGCG